CGGGGAAUUUUGGACAACGGGCGCAAGCCUGAUCCAGCCAUGCCGCGUGCGGGAAGAAGGCCUUCGGGUUGUAAACCGCUUUUGUCAGGGAAGAAAAGGUUCUGGUUAAUACCUGGGACUCAUGCCGCUACCUGAAGAAUAAGCACCGGCUAACUACGUGCCAGCAGCCGCGGUAAUACGUAGGGUGCAAGCGUUAAUCGGAAUUACUGGGCGUAAAGCGUGCGCAGGCGGUUAUGCAAGGCAGAGGUGAAAUCCCCGGGCUCAACCUGGGAACUGCCUUUGUGACUGCAUAGCUAGGGUACGGUAGAGGGGGGUGGAAUUCCGCGUGUAGCAGUGAAAUGCGUAAAUAUGAGGAAGAACACCGAUGGCGAAGGCAAUCCCCUGGACCUGUACUGACGCUCAUGCACGAAAGCGUGGGGAGCAAACAGG
rnacentral:rRNA from 1 species